rnacentral:rRNA from 1 species
ACUCUCAGUGCGGAUCUUGGUGGGAGUAGCAACUAUUCAAAUGAGAACUUUGAAGACUGAAGUGGAGAAGGGUUUCAUGAGAACAUCAAUUGGUCAUGAGUGACUCGGUCCUAAGGUCAGGGGUAGUCCCGCGAAGACGCAGUCCAGGCCGAAAGGGAAGAUGGUCAAAAUUCCAUCAGCUAGCGGUGGGUGCUGUGUGGCAACACUACUGAACUCAGAGACGUCGGGGCGAGGUCCCAGGGAGAGUUCUCUUCUCUUCUUAACAAAUCGCUGCCCUGGAGGUCAUUGCGACGAGAUAGGGCUUUAGAUUUGGCAGAGCAGCACGCCUCCUGUGCUGUCUGGUGUACCUCCUUCGGCCCUUGAAAAUCUGAGGGAAACCUUAUCGCACGCUAGGCCGUACCGAUAACCGCAUCAGGUCUCCAAGGUGAACAGCCUCUAGUCGAUAGAAUAAAGUAGAUAAGGGAAUUCGGCAAAAUAGAUCUGUAACUUUGGGAAAAAGAUUGGCUCUGAGGGUUAGGCCGUAGU